CUUACUCCUGGGGUCUGGGUGAGCAUCUGGCCCCGACCUGGUAAAGGGUCGGUUUCGCCCAGCAGUAAGCCCUACAUGUGGACAGAGGACGAACACCGGACGAGCGAACGGAGACUACAUGCAACAAGUGGUGACCCCGACGUGAUCUGUCUGCUGAGGGUGGCUGCCCGGCGUGCCCGUGACGCGGAGAAGAGCCUGUGAGGUGGCGGCAGGUCGCAUACGUAACAAUGGACCAAGUCAUUAAGACCGAAGCCAACUCCAGAACAACUGAGGGACAGACGAUGGGAUCAAGAACCACUCGUCAAGAGGAGCACUACACCUGCAACGCUGACACUUCCGAUGUUGCCGAUGUUUAUGGUGUCCAUGGCGAUUACAGAGUGUCACAAACAACUACAAUGGACACAAGAACAUAUGCAGAAAAUUAAAGAAGAGCGUGAUCCCUUUGGAAGCUGGCUGGACGGACUGUUUGGGGGAACGGGUUCAUGGUUAAAGCAAUUGCUUAAAGCUCUCGCAGUAGGAUUUGCAAUCUUUGUGUGUAUUCUAAUCUGUCUUCCAUGCUUUGUAGGAUGCUUGCAGAACUGCCUUCAACGAAUGAUGGACAAGACUUUUGACUAUCACAUUGAGUAUCAUAGAUUGCGUGAAAAAUUAUAGAGGG
rnacentral:lncRNA from 1 species